AUCAAUUCCGUACCUGACCUGCGGUUGGAUCAUUACCGAGUGCGGGCUGCCUCCGGGCGCCCAACCUCCCACCCGUGACUACCUAACACUGUUGCUUCGGCGGGGAGCCCCCCAGGGGCGAGCCGCCGGGGACCACCGAACUUCAUGCCUGAGAGUGAUGCAGUCUGAGCCUGAAUACAAAUCAGUCAAAACUUUCAACAAUGGAUCUCUUGGUUCCGGCAUCGAUGAAGAACGCAGCGAACUGCGAUAAGUAAUGUGAAUUGCAGAAUUCAGUGAAUCAUCGAGUCUUUGAACGCACAUUGCGCCCCCUGGCAUUCCGGGGGGCAUGCCUGUCCGAGCGUCAUUGCUGCCCUCAAGCCCGGCUUGUGUGUUGGGUCGUCGUCCCCCCCGGGGGACGGGCCCGAAAGGCAGCGGCGGCACCGUGUCCGGUCCUCGAGCGUAUGGGGCUUUGUCACCCGCUCGAUUAGGGCCGGCCGGGCGCCAGCCGGCGUCUCCAACCUUAUUUUUCUCAGGUUGACCUCGGAUCAGGUAGGGAUACCCGCUGAAUUUUAAUCUAUAUGAAUAAGCGAGUCCUUAU
rnacentral:rRNA from 1 species